rnacentral:rRNA from 1 species
UACGAGGGGGGCUAAUGUUGUUCGGAAUCACUGGGCGUAAAGGGUGCGUAGGCGGGUGUUUAAGUUAGGUGUUUAAUCCCAGGGCCCAACCCUGGUCAGGCACCUAAAAAUGGACAUCUUGAAUAGUGGAGAGGACGAUGGAAUUGGGGGUGUAGCGGUGGAAUGCGUAGAGAUCCCCAAGAACACCAGUUGCGAAGGCGGUCGUCUGGACACAUAUUGACGCUGAGGCUCGAAAGCAUGGGGAGCAAACAGG